rnacentral:rRNA from 1 species
UACGAAGGGGGCUAGCGUUGCUCGGAAUGACUGGGCGUAAAGGGCGCGUAGGCGGAUGGCAUAGUCAGAUGUGAAAUUCCCGGGCUUAACCGGGGAACUGCAUCUGAUACUGGAUGGCUUGAGUUCGGGAGAGGGAUGCGGAAUUCCAGGUGUAGCGGUGAAAUGCGUAGAUAUCUGGAGGAACACCGGUGGCGAAGGCGGCAUCCUGGACCGGCACUGACGCUGAGGAGCGAAAGCCAGGGGAGCAAACGGG